UACGUAGGGUGCGAGCGUUAAUCGGAAUUACUGGGCGUAAAGCGCGUGUAGGCGGUUGUUUAAGUUGGAUGUGAAAUCCCCGGGCUUAACCUGGGAACUGCAUUCAAUACUGGGCAACUGGAGUCUGAGAGAGGAGGGUGGAAUUUCCGGUGUAGCAGUGAAAUGCGUAGAGAUCGGAAGGAACACCAGUGGCGAAGGCGGCCCUCUGGCUCAAGACUGACGCUGAGACGCGAAAGCGUGGGGAGCAAACAGG
rnacentral:rRNA from 1 species